rnacentral:pre_miRNA from 1 species
UCUUACAGAUGAGCAAAGAAAGUGGUUUCUUGAGAUGGAAUCUACCCCUGGGGAAACAUGCUGUGAA